rnacentral:rRNA from 1 species
CCGGCUCCGGCGGCCCCGCUGGAGGACGAGAACAUCCUCCAGGAGAUCCUCCUCCGCCUCCCUCCACAGCCAUCCUCCCUUCAACACACCUCGCUCGUCUGCCCUCGCUGGCGCUGCAUGCUCUCUGACCCCAAGUUCCUCACCCACUUUCGCAGACACCACAAGAAACCUCCAAUCAUUGGCUUCUUCGUCGAAGAAUGGGGCAUGCCCACCAUCUUCAAACCAGUAGAUCCACCCCAUCACAUCCCUGUCGAGCGCUUCUCCAUGCCCAAGGCCAGCAAACCCUACGCUAGCUGGGACUUGCUCGGCUGCCGCCAUGGCCUUGCCGUCCUAGUCAAUAUGUGGCAGCAUCGCCAGAUCAUUGUGUGGGAUCCCCUCUCUGGUCAACAACACCGCGUGAAUUUUCCACCAGGGCUUGAUAACAAUGAAGUGGCGUUCUGGCAUGCCUCGGUGAUGUGUGCAGAUGAUCAAGAUGGGCACGUGCACGGCGAUUGCUUCUCGAGCCCGUUCAAAUUGGUCUUGAUCUGGGUUGUCAGACACAAGCAAGCAUCUGCUUGCCUACACGAAUCCGCAUCUGGUGUAUGGGGAGAGAUUGUCAUGGAAAUUACAAAUCAAAUUUAUUUCAUAAGUCCUGGUGUCUUUGCUGGAAAUGAACUUUGUUGGUUGCUUAGUGGAGUUGGCGUCCUUGUGUUUGAUCUUGAAAAUCAGAACCUUGGUGUGGUUAAGAACCUAGCAUGUAUUACUGUGUCCAUCGGAUCUGUUCAGCUCAUACGGACAAAGGAUAGUAGACUUGGCCUAGCAUACUUGUCUAGACAGACCAUUCAAUUAUGGGAGCGGAAAUCGGACUAUGAUGGUGUUGUCAGAUGGGUUCUUCUGCAAACAACCAUUCAACUGGAGGAGCUCUUUCCACAGAUGUUUAUGGAUGAAGAAAGUGUAAGAAAAAAGGGGUAUAAUGAAAAAUCAGUAGAAAUAAAGGUCUAUGAUGGCAACACAAAUGUCAUUGUUCUUUCUACGAUUAGAGGUGACUUGACGCUCGAAGUUGACAUGAUGGAGAUCAAACACGUUAUUAAAAGAAAUUUCAAGUCUUCGAACACCUACUAUCCCUAUGUGAAUUUCUAUACCGCAGACAAGGGAGUUGGAUGGAAAUGGUUGCAUCUAGAACUUCGAACACAAAGAUCUACUAAUGUGCCAUAUGGGUUCAAUAGGUGA